GACGAACGCUGGCGGCGUGCUUAACACAUGCAAGUCGAACGGGAUUUAGUAAACAGAAGCCUCGGUGGAAGAUUACUAAUGAGAGUGGCGAACGGGUGAGUAACGCGUGAGCAACCUGCCUAUGACAGUGGGAUAGCCUCGGGAAACCGGGAUUAAUACCGCAUAAAAUCGUAGAAACACAUGUUUUAACGGUCAAAGAUUUAUCGGUCAUAGAUGGGCUCGCGUCUGAUUAGCUAGUUGGUGAGAUAACAGCCCACCAAGGCGACGAUCAGUAGCCGGUCUGAGAGGAUGAACCGCCACAUUGGAACUGAGACACGGUCCAAACUCCUACGGGAGGCAGCAGUGGGGAAUAUUGCACAAUGGGGGAAACCCUGAUGCAGCGACGCCGCGUGAACGAAGAAGGUAUUCGUAUCGUAAAGUUCUGUCCUAUGGGAAGAUAAUGACAGUACCAUAGAAGAAAGCUCCGGCUAAAUACGUG
rnacentral:rRNA from 1 species